AUGUCUGAGGAGUGGGAGGAAUUAUUCCCCCUGGUUUCUGUUAGAAAAUUGGUUCGUGAGAUUUCGGACCAUAACCCUUUGUUGAUUAACUCUGGGGAAGAGGGACGAGAGGCUCCCAAACCUCGCGAAUUUCUCUUUGACCUUUCUUGGGUCAAGGACGAACGUUUCCUUCCUUUGGUCAGUAAAAUCUGGGCUCGAGGAGUCUUCUCUAAAGACCCCAUCGAUAUCCUGAAUAUUAAGUUGAAGAGAUUCCAAACUUUCUUUAAAGGGUGGGGCUCAGACAAAUUUGGUCACAAUAAAAGGUUGAAGGAGGAGCUUAGGCUCGAAUUAGCCACGCUAGAAGAACUAGAGGAGGAUGGACCCCUUACCCCAGAGCUGUAUAGUAGGAAAAUCGAUGUGUGUUUUGAACUCCAUGAGAUUUUGGUUAAUGAGGAAAUAUACUGGCUCCAGCAAUCACACGAGCGUUGGUUGCUUAAAGGAGACCUGAACACUGACUAUUUCCAUAAAAUUGCCAACGAACGUAAGCGUAAAAAUACUAUCCACUCUCUUAAAGCUGACGAGGUGGAAAUAGAGGGUACAGAUAAUCUGAUUGCCCAUGCUACUGAUUUUUAUAAGGAACUUUUCGGCCCAGCUCAGGGCAAUCAUUUUCACUUGGAUCCUAAUACUUGGUCCGAGAGUGAAAAGCUGAGUGAGGAUGACAGUAGAGAUCUUUGUCGCGAAUUCACAGAAACUGAAGUUAGAGAUGCUCUCUUCUCUAUGGCCACCAAUAGGGCACGGAUAACAUUCCUGUCGAAUUUUAUCAAAUAUGUUGGGAUAUAG
rnacentral:rRNA from 1 species